UGGAAUGAAUUUUGACGAAACACUUAUGUGUCAAUGGUAGUCCUAAGUUUGUAAACAUUCGAGCCACUGAUGAUGACAUCAAAUUGAUGUCGAAAUUAAUUUGGCA